GUGCAUGCUGGGCUAUAAUUUAUGAAACGGAGCCCAGGAAACAACCAAUCGCUUAGCUCCUCCUAACAAGUCCAACUGGCUAUGAAAAGCUGGAAGUGCUGCACAGAGCAAUGAAGGGGAGCUAUCCCACAUAUUAAUCUGCUUAGCUAGGAUUGCCUUCUGUGUAGACAGAGGGAAGCAUGUAGCAAGGAGAGAAAAAAACAAAGAAAGGAAAAUCACUGCUUUGCUGUUGAAACAACGGAAUAAAUUUCAACCAACAGGCAAAUCUUCUGUUCUAGUCAGAUGGC
rfam:Cariama cristata contig94577, whole genome shotgun sequence.